GGAUGCCUACGGGACGCAGCAGUGAGGAAUAUUGCACAAUGGGGGAAACCCUGAUGCAGCGACGCCGCGUGAACGAGGAAGGUCUUCGGAUCGUAAAGUUCUGUUGAAGGGGAAAAAGAGCGGAGAGAGGAAAUGAACUCCGAUCGAUAUUACCCUUCGAGGAAGUCACGGCUAACUACGUGCCAGCAGCCGCGGUAAUACGUAGGUGGCGAGCGUUAUCCGGAAUGAUUGGGCGUAAAGGGUGCGUAGGCGGCCUGCUAAGUCUGGAGAGAAAGGUACCGGCUCAACCGGUACAGGCUCUGGAA
rnacentral:rRNA from 1 species